UACGUAGGGUGCGAGCGUUGUCCGGAAUUAUUGGGCGUAAAGGGCUCGUAGGCGGUCUGUCGCGUCGGGAGUGAAAACUCAGGGCUUAACCCUGAGCCUGCUUCCGAUACGGGCAGACUAGAGGUAUGCAGGGGAGAACGGAAUUCCUGGUGUAGCGGUGGAAUGCGCAGAUAUCAGGAGGAACACCGGUGGCGAAGGCGGUUCUCUGGGCAUUACCUGACGCUGGGGAGCGAAAGUGUGGGGAGCGAACAGG
rnacentral:rRNA from 1 species